UCUGAUAUGGUGUAGUGGCUAACAUUAUCGCCUCUCAUAAGAAAUGGUGCAUUUUGUGCGAUAGCCCGGGGUUCGAUUCCCUGUGUCGGAA